rnacentral:misc_RNA from 1 species
GAAAACCCUAGAAGGUGUAUUAUAUCUGUAUAGCCAGUGACAUGUAUGCUCUACACUUGCCUCUACUGAGGAUCUUGUGUAUCAGAAAUAUCUCUGUUAUGAUAUUAAAUGCAACGAUCCCUUUGUUAUACAUAUAUACUUAGUACAAAAGGGCUCCCAGCAUGAGAGUACUUAUAGAGAGGAAAGCGGCAUUGAACAUGAGUGCUAUGCAUGUAUGUAUGGCAGAAGGCUCCCAGCCACUUGGUAUCAAAGAAACCCAUCUACUGCUCUACCAUCUCCAAGCAACCAAAAAGCCUCACCAAUGACACCAAACGAUAUUUCUCUACGAAGAAACUUAAACAGCAUAACUCCAGUAGCCAUUAAACACUUUGGGAGAAGAAACCCAACAAGUCGGAUUUGACGCAAAAACAACGCGACACUUCCUGGAGGCUCUCCUCACGUUGGCAACCUCUCCCCUGUAAUCGAAACUCCUUUAUGACACCGUGGAUCCCAACCGAAUCUCAUUAUUUUUCUGCUCCUGAUCCUCUCCCACCAAUCACCAUUCGCUGAUUGAUCCACUGCUGUCGUCGGAAAGGCCAGUCAAAGCCCAAAAAUUCAAACCCAUCGGGCUAGGUUUUGGAGCCACCUGGGUCUUCAGGAUAAGAUCAUAAAGCAACUGUGAGCUGCAUUACAUAGGAACCUGUCCCUGCAUCUAGUCCACAUCAAUUGACAUGACGCCACAUCAACCUCCGUGUGCCACAUCACUUGUCAUUUCAUCACUCCUGCCACAUCAGCGAUUUUCUAUAGGGCCAUUUUUUAAAAUUUUCAACAUGCUAGUUCCAUUUCUUAUGCCCAUUUUCAGCAAAAAGACUCCUAAAGAGAUGUGAAGAAAAGAAUGGAGUUAUUGUUUCAACUUUGAUGUUGUGAUGUAGAACCA